UGGCGGACGGGUGAGUAACGCGUGGGAAUCUACCCAGUAGUGGGGGAUAGCCAGGAGAAAUCCUGAUUAAUACCGCAUACAUUCUACGGAAAAAAGGUGGCCUCUACUUGUAAGCUAUCGCUAUUGGAUGAGCCCGCGUUAGAUUAGCUAGUUGGUGGGGUAAGAGCCUACCAAGGCAACGAUCUAUAGCUGGUCUGAGAGGACGACCAGCCACAUCGGGACUGAGACACGGCCCGGACUCCUACGGGAGGCAGCAGUGGGGAAUAUUGGACAAUGGGCGCAAGCCUGAUCCAGCAAUGCCGCGUGUGUGAAGAAGGCCUGAGGGUUGUAAAGCACUUUCAAUUUGUGAAGAAGUUGAUAAAAUUAAUACUUUUGUCAAUUUGACGUUAACUUUAGAAGAAGCACCGGCUAACUCUGUGCCAGCAGCCGCGGUAAUACAGAGGGUGCAAGCGUUAAUCGGAAUUACUGGGCGUAAAGCGCGCGUAGGCGGUUAUUUAAGUCAGAUGUGAAAUCCCCCGGGCUCAACCUGGGGAACUGCAUCUGAUACUGGGAUAACUAGAGUUUGGGGAGAGGGAAGUAGAAUUUCAGGUGUAGCGGUGAAAUGCAUAGAGAUCUGAAGGAAUACCAGUGGCGAAAGCGACUUCCUGGCCUAAAGCUGACGCUGAGGUGCGAAAGCGUGGGUAGCAAACGGGAUUAGAUACCCCGGUAGUCCACGCCGUAAACGAUGUCUACUAGUCGUUGG
rnacentral:rRNA from 1 species